GCUGGCAGAGGCGGGGCGGGUAGUGGCUUCCUUGUGGUUUUUCCCUUGAGGGCGGAUUCUCCCUUUGGGGAAGGACACAGUGUGCAUGUCUUGCCUUCGCUGCCACCUCCUCCUUCUCUCAAUAUCCUCUUGCUGGGAGGAGGUUCCUCAUCUCAGUUGUUGCAUCCAGCUGCUGCUACUGCCAGUGCCACGUGCCUUGUAAGGUAGGGGAGUGGCAGACGACCUCUUUCUGCCCCUCCUCGCCCUUCCUCGCAGUCCUGUCCGCCUGCCCUCCCUAGAAUUUCCCAAAGAAAAAGUGGCUGGCAAAGCAGAAACAAACGCGCGGGGGGGCGGGGGGGCGAUCCUGCAUUGUCGGGGGAAGAAUACAGACGGAGUGUAAUGGUGCUUUUUCUACAGCCAUGAAAGAGGCUGACACCUGCACACUCAGGCACGACUUAAAAUAGAACUUGUCAAACAGUGAUCCUCUCUGGAUCAAGCUCGGAACAACAAACAGCUCUUGAACUCGCCUCCCAGCCUAAAAAGACUGCAGUGCACGUACAAUUCAGAGGACUUUCGAAAUUAUCUAAAAACAUGGGUGAUUCUCACUGCCAGCCUUGUCUGUGAGAAAAGUACAUAUCUAUGUCUGCACAGAUACGAGACAAAAAAUAAACCUUUAAUUUUUAAAAAUUAAAAUGUACACAGUAAUCUUGCUGUUAGUAUUGAAUUAAAACUAAAUAGGCAUGACUGUUCCUUGAAAGGAAUGAUAUAAUUUUCUUUAAUAUUUCAUGAGGUCUUCCCUUUUCAAUAAAGAUUAUUGCAAGUCACCAGAAAUAUUAGGUAUCUUGAGGUAUAUUCAGAUCGUUUUAAUUGUCCUCUCAAAUGAAAAAGGUCAAUAUACAAAUCCACCAUAAUCAGUUUUGUUAUUAUUCAUAUUUAAUUGGACCUGCCAGUCAAGUUAACUCCCAGGAUAUGGGAACACGGUAAAAUUCUAAGUACCACAGGUUAUAAAAAAGUUCCUCAAAACCAGUACUUA
rnacentral:lncRNA from 1 species